GAUGAACGCUGGCGGCGUGCCUAAUACAUGCAAGUCGAGCGAACAGACGAGGAGCUUGCUCCUCUGACGUUAGCGGCGGACGGGUGAGUAACACGUGGAUAACCUACCUAUAAGACUGGGAUAACUUCGGGAAACCGGAGCUAAUACCGGAUAACAUGUUGAACCGCAUGGUUCAACAGCGAAAGACGGUCUUGCUGUCACUUAUAGAUGGAUCCGCGCCGCAUUAGCUAGUUGGUAAGGUAACGGCUUACCAAGGCAACGAUGCGUAGCCGACCUGAGAGGGUGAUCGGCCACACUGGAACUGAGACACGGUCCAGACUCCUACGGGAGGCAGCAGUAGGGAAUCUUCCGCAAUGGGCGAAAGCCUGACGGAGCAACGCCGCGUGAGUGAAGAAGGUCUUCGGAUCGUAAAACUCUGUUAUUAGGGAAGAACAAAUGUGUAAGUAACUAUGCACGUCUUGACGGUACCUAAUCAGAAAGCCACGGCUAACUACGUG
rnacentral:rRNA from 1 species